AUACUUACCUGGUAGGGGCGAUACCAUGAUCAUGAAGGCUGUUUUCCCAGGGUGAGGCUUAUCCAUUGCACUCUGGAUGUACUUACCCCUGUGAUUUCCCCAAAUGUGGGAAAAUUGACUGUAUAAUUUGUGGUAAUGGGACUGUGUUUGUGCUUUCCCCUU
ensembl:snRNA U1 U1 spliceosomal RNA